UACGUAGGGGGCAAGCGUUGUCCGGAAUCAUUGGGCGUAAAGAGCGCGUAGGCGGCCCUGUAAGUCCGCUGUGAAAGUCAAGGGCUCAACCCUUGAAUGCCGGUGGAUACUGCAGGGCUAGAGUCCGGAAGAGGCGAGUGGAAUUCCUGGUGUAGCGGUGAAAUGCGCAGAUAUCAGGAGGAACACCGAUGGCGAAGGCAGCUCGCUGGGACGGCACUGACGCUGAGACGCGAAAGCGUGGGGAGCAAACAGG
rnacentral:rRNA from 1 species